CGCAUCGAUGAAGAACGCAGCGAAAUGCGAUAAGUAAUGUGAAUUGCAGAAUUCAGUGAAUCAUCGAAUCUUUGAACGCACCUUGCGCUCCUUGGUAUUCCGAGGAGCAUGCCUGUUUGAGUGUCAGUAAAUUCUCAAACCCAUCAGCUUUGUGUUGUUGGGCUUUGGAUGUGGAGGCUUUGCCGGCCUUUGUAGGUCAGCUCCUCUGAAAUGCAUUAGCGGA
rnacentral:rRNA from 1 species